UGAUAGUAUUGUGGUUUCAGAGUACACAAAAAGCCCUUUUGUGGAAAUGUGAGCACUUCCCCACAGUUCUUCUGAAGGUCAAACACAAAGCAGAAGAGACGUACGAAAGUGAAGCUUGCAUGUAGAUUGCUGCUGAGCAUGAAAUUCUGCAGAGCGUCUGCCUACAUGCACUGUCCUUGUCCUUUACCUUUAGGUUGUGCUACUGAACUCUCCAGGCAGAUCUGAGCUCGUGUGAAGCUCUGAGAGUAUCCUGGAGGCUGCUUCUGUCUAAGGAUUUCAGAGCUGCUCUUGCAUUUGGGUCACUCCAGAAGGUCACAGAGGUCCGGGCUGGGCAAGGACAUGCAAUGUGCUGUAACUCUGGACUGUAGAAAUGGAGAAUUGCAUGCAGCAGGGAACUGCAACCAUUUUCCUGAAGUGCAUCACAGCUCAACUCAGAGAUUGUCUCCUAGUCCCUCUCCCCUUCUAUACGCAACUGGGCAGAACAUCUCCCAUCACGCUGGUGUUUUUAAUAUUACCUGGGCAACUGGAACCUUGCUUUACAUUGGAUUACAUUGUAUUUUUAGUUUAUUUUAAUGCAAUUUAGCAGCUAGAAACAAAGAGGAGAUUUAAUAUCAGUCAGACCUCUGCAGACUGCUAGUAAGUACUCCAUGGACCACAGCAUGGGAGACGCAUUAAUAUUGCAUUUACUGUAUAUCAUGCCUUGUGUCUGAGAAUUUAAAAUCCCUUUGCAUGCAGUUAAACUAAUCACUUCUCAUUUCACUAAAGAAUAUCACUUUGAUCACAGCUGAUUCGCAAUUAAGUGCUGAACCUAAAUGAGUGGAUGGGGCUGACCUAGGCAAAAGACUUGAAAAGCAAGGAGGGAAGCCCAGCAAAGGGGAGUUUGUGUGGAAGUUGUCCUUGCUGAGAAAAAAAGAAGUCCUUGUUCCUGGGAGGCAAAGGAAAGAAGAUAAUGAUGGUGAUGGAGGUAGUAGUGCAAGUGAACCCAAGUAUGGAAGAGAGCGAAGAAGCAAAAACCUGGAGGAUGUACAUUAUCCUUGUGCAGGAACCUGAUGGAGGAGGAAACAAAAAGGCAAAAGCCACGAGGGAAGGUUUAACUGUGGAUCACUCGGCUCUCAGUAGGUGGCCUUGCCAAACAUGAAGAUCUUGUUCUGAAGAAUGUGAGAGAAGUGGAUUCUGCUUGUAAGCAUCUCAUAGCCUCUUUAAAUCAAGUGUUUCUUGUGUCAGCUACCCACCAUGUCAAGGAAUUGGACAUAAGCAGCAUUCUUUCCCAGACUGGAAAUCUGUGUUCUCUGCUCCCUCUCUCGGGGUGAGCCAUGGCUUUUUCAAAAAGCAUCUCCUCUGAGCAAGAGGUUCAUCUUCAUGGUCUAUGAAGAGAAAGUAUGAUUGCUUUGGAGGGCUCUGCACACCUCCAAGGCCUGGUCCCAACAUUAAUGAUUAGAGGAAGGAUUCCCUGUGAUGUCCACUUAAAACAUGCACUGCUGAGACCAUCUCAGGGGAGCAGUGUGAAAAGGGAUAGGACAGACCUAUCUAGUCUUGUUACGGCAAGGAAAAGCUGCUCACCUGUAAGACAAGGAGGAGAGCAUGUCCCUCUGAUGGAGCAACUCUUCUGGAACAUUUCCUGCCUCUUGCACAUCCUGUCAUGCGUCACCCACAACGACUUUUCAUCCCCAGUGAACCAGGCCCUUCAAACCCCUCUUUAAGACCUACUUCCAUGAGGCCCAUAGAAAGAAAUAGCAAAGAUAUUAUUUGAGGAACAAAUGCAUCUGCCUCUAGACUAAUGGCCCUCACCAGAGAUCUGCCUUGUUACCUACCAGUGGAUAGACAAACUGGUUCAAAUCUUUGCUUGAAACUUGAGCUGACAGAUCAUGGUGCAACGGGGGUUCACGCCUGUGCAGCAUCAUCCUCAGGGCAGGCAAAACUGAGGUCCCUAAGGGCACUUCCUUUUUCUGUCUCUACAGUGAAAGCUCUGCCAGGCAGCAAUUAUCUUGAGACUUGCCAUGCUAACCUGGUGAUUAGAGCACUCUUCUGGGAGCUAGGAGAGGUGGGUUUGAACCCAUCUGGCCACAGAGGACCAUGAACUCAAGUAUUUCAUUUCUUGGGCAAGUGUCAGGUACCAAGAGCCUUUUGUCACUAUGACUGCCUCACUCCAUCUUAAAAGAAAGCAGUGGUGGCCUGAUUUAUUACCUGGGUUCGGAGAAUGCCGACCAGGUGGAACUCCUUGCUUCUGGAUCCCUUAUGGGGGAACAAAGCGCCAUCCUCAGCCCUGUGAGGCAGUUCUGGGCACAUGCAGAGAUGUGACCCUAGGCACCUGGGGAAAUAUAGGGCCAAAUAGCAAGGUGUUUAGGGGGAUUGGGUGCCUCCAGGUUAGCUGGCAGCUGAACAGAGGUUUUCAGGAUUGCAGUUCUGAGCUUUGAUGUCCAAGAACUCAUUAAGUUCCUUAUUAGGCACCUGUGUCCUUUUUGGGCUUUGGCCUAAGUGCUGCGGAGUCUUGUAGGUAUAAAUCAAUUUAGUGCUGGGGGUAGCAGUGCUAUGUUUAGCCAUAGCACAGCAUUGCACAGCAACAGAACAAGGUCUGCACGGUGCCCCACCAAUCUGCUAUGCCUCUCCUUGGGCCAUCAGCUCUGUGACUGGCCCCAUUCCUCUCCAGAGGCUACUAUGGUUAAUAGGUCUCCUUGUUCAUUCAGUCAUUAGCUUUGCUCAUGGGUAUGCCAUCAAGGCUGUCAUUCGUGGAUGUAGUCGAAUGACAGACUCUGCCCCCUAGGAACUACACCAGGUUUACCAGCUCAUUUCACAAGGCCCCCAAACAGCCUUCAGACAGCAAUUCUGUCAGUCACUACAAGUCUGGGCUGAGGUUGGACCAGUAUCACGGGGAGGACAGGCUGUUUUGAGCUAUCAGUGCUACAGGAGUUUGACAGUUUCUAUAUAAAAUACAUUAACACUUGGACAGAAGAGAAAUCAACUCUAAAGAUACAUUUUUAAGGGGAAGAACUGUCCAACAACCAGCCAUUACAGAGAAAUAGGACUACAGAUGACCAAGUUACCUCCUGAAGAUUUUUACACAGUCAACAUUAGAACAACAAAUAUAUUUCUGUUUGUUUAAUGUGGUGGUUUUUAGCUGCCAUUCUCUAGGCCUACUUGUGUAUGUCUAUUCCUUCUCCAGGGUGAUCAUUUGAAUUUCCUUUGUUGAUGUAGUAUUGAGAUACCUAGGUGAUUAUUAGUAUAAAAGUGAAACCUAUGCCAAGAAUAUGCUCCAAUAGUAACCCAUCUUCUUCAAUGUGAUUUGUUUAAAACAACCUUUUCAGUACAAUUUUAAGCACCCUAUAGUUAAAUGCCAGCCCUGAGUGGGUAAGUAUUUUGGGGUUUGUUUGUUUUGUUUUUUUAUCAUCUCUCAUCUAGUUUCAUAAAGGCAGGUGCCAAGAAGAUACAAACCAUGGAAUAUACUGACAAAAAUGAGGACAGACAAGAUUGAAUUAGCAUGGAAAUAAUUAGUUUUUAGAGAGGAAUGUAAUUCUUUUAGUUAAGAUUCUUUUAGCUCGUUCUCAGUGGGAAGACACUAAGAGAAAUCUUCCACUGGAUACCAGCAAGGAGAAAAGAAGGUGUUAUUGAUUCCUGGUACUCUUUGUCCCCUGCCACUUUCAAAUACAGUCACCAUUAGACUUUUUUUUAAUCCUUGCUUCUGAUUGCAAUGUGUGGGUCACUUAGCAUUAGCUAAUGUUAAGCUUGAGGGACAAAUAAUAAAUAAACCACUAAUCUUUGAUUUUGGCAUAUAAUUCUCAGUUUGCUAAUUCUCUACAAGUUCUUUCUAGUCUUUCUAGCCCACUGAGAAAGAGAAACCUUUAGUCCACACGUAGAGUUAAUCGCGGAUAGCAGCAAUUAGGUUGCUACAGGAGUAUGUGGUCAAGCAAGCACAGCACUAAAGUUUGUUAGACUUCUGAUACUGGCUCAAAGGAACGGGAUAUUUUCUUUGGUAAAGUCACUUUACUUUCUUAGGGGUAUUUCAGGCCUCAGAAAGGGGUUGCUUUGAAAGUGGUAAUCUGAGGCAAAAUGUUAUCAAGCCAGAUGCAGAUGGUGGCACCUCUGUGAAAAAUGGCUAGAAGGAAAGGAUGUGUUUUUCACAGAUUCCUUUUUUACUAGAAUAUUUUUGCCUUGGCUAAAACAUUCAAUUGGAACAUAUUUCAAAAGCAGCUCAAACUCAAUAGAGCUCCUUUUCCAGGUAGAAAAGGCCACUAGGGCUGGGACAGUUGGUUUGACGGGUGCCACAUUUGACAGUUUUAUCCCUGUUAUGAUUAUAAUGAGACCUCCUUCCCACAAACUCACCAGGAUCUCCAAGAAAGGGUGUACUUCUUUUUCUCUUGGGAGCAAAGCUAAUUUGGGGCAGUGGCAGCAUUUCCUCUUGACACCUCAGUAGAGCAUAGAGGGGGAAACUCCACCAGGUUGGAUCCUGUCCUUAAAUUAAAGCAGAGCAUAGAGAAAGUGGUCAUGGCUAAGUCUGAAACUCCAGCAGCCCCUAGAAAGAAGUUGCACUUGAACCUCAGACUGGCCAUAGUAACAAUUGUACUAAG